CCGAUGUUUACCCGACUGUGCCACCCAGGCACCCCUAGCAUGUUUGACAUUUUUAAGUGUAUAGUUCACUGACAUUAAGUACAUUCAUAUUGUACUACCAUCACCACCGUCCAUCUCCAGGACUCUUCCCAUCUUGAAACACUGAAAACUCUGUACCCAUUAAGCAAUAACUCGAUUCCCUUCUCCCCUUCCAGCCUCUGGCAACCAUCAUCCUACCUGUUGACUCUGGGACUUUGAUCACUCUAGAUGCCCCUUGUCAAUGGCAUCGUACAAUAUUUGUUCUCUUGUAUCUGGCUUGUUUCACUAGGCAUCAUGUCUUCAAGGUUCAUCCGUGUUGUGGCCUGUACCACAAUUACCUUCCUUUUUUACAGCUGAGUAAUAUUCUGUGGCAUGUAUUACCACAUUUUCCUUCUCCAUUCAUCUGUCGAUGGACGCUGGGUUGCUUCCACAUUUUCACUGUUGUGAAGUAAUGCUGCUGUUGAAUGUGGGUGUACAACUUUCUGCCUCUUUUAAUCUAGAAUAGUUCCUCCCCUUUUCCUACUAGGUCAACUUUUUGAAGAUAUCAGUCCAGUUGUCAUUCUAUGGAGUAUUCCUUGUUUUGAAUUUAUCUGGUUACUCCCUGAUGGUCUGAUUGGAAGUUUGUUUUUUCUUGAGUGGAUUUGUUUAGUUUGAUGAUGUUGGAGAAGUGCUAAGGCAUUCAUUUAAGUAUUUCAGGUUCCACGUCUGGCUGGUCCCUGUUCAUGAUGCUGAGGGUGACCACUGGGUUGAUGUGGGUAGUGACUGUAGGACCUCUCCAUGUGAAAGGUACCCUCACUCCCUUGAAGUCGGCAAGUGCAUCUUGUUGUUACCCUUUUAACAGAUGAGGCUGUUGCCGAAAUUCUGAGUAGGUGCUAACUUGCUCACCGAUAAGAAUCGUCUCUCCCAUUUAUUGAGUGUUUGCCAUAUGGCAGGCACUGAUGUAGUCCGUGACAGAUAUUAUUUCAUUUAAUCCUUCCAGUUGUCCCCAUUGGCAACUCAGUUGUGCCCUUCUGUUAUGAAGACACUUUGCAGACCCUUCCCCAUCCUGCUUUCCUUUUCUUGUACUGCUCCCUGCCCAUGGUGGCUCAUGGCCUUUCCCGGCCAGGCCGGCUGGUUCGACGUGGGCACCGUCUGUCCAGUUUCUGUAUCCACGGGGUGAGAACAUGGCUCUGGAGCCAGGCUGCCUGCCUUCCAGUCCCGGCUCGACCCCUCCCGUGUGACUCCGGGGUGGUUCCUCACCCUUGGGACUUCACGGUCCUCAUCUGUAACUUGGGAAUGACGCCUGCUUCGGAAGGUUCUUAUGAGUGUGAGUUUCCCCAUGUGGAAGGAUUCGUGUGGUGCCUGGUACAUCAUAGAUCCCAGCCUCCCUGCUGGCACCCCUGCCGUGGGUCCCUGAAGACACUUCCUCAGGCUUUUUGCCUUGCGGGUUCUGUUGUCAUGCCCUAUGGAGAAACACACUGCCGAUGGCUGAAAAUCUGGAGGAGAUAGAGAGUAGCAACGAUACAGUUCUAGAGCAGGGACCAGUAAACGACAGCCCGCGCACCAGAUCCGCCUUGUAGGCUGGUUUUUACAUCACGUGUUGGAGCACACGCAUGCUGGUUCAUUUACAGAUCAUUGUUUGCGGCCACUUGGGUACUACGAUGGCAGAGAUGAGUAGUGGUGACAGAGACCACAGAGCCUGCAAAGCCUAGAAUACUUACUAUCUGGGCUCUUCCAGAGAGCCGAUUGACCCCUGCUCUGGAAUCUUAGAGUUCUGAGAGCUGUGGUCUCUGAUUGUUGGGUCUUGGCUCCCCAGGGAGGAUGCUGCUGCUUCCUGGUCAGAAUUCCCACCCCCAGCUUUCACUCCCAGGGAUGCCACUUCCCCAUCUUUCUAUUUCUAGUCUUUUUACCCUGAGCCCUAGGCUGACUCCUUCCUCUGGGCAGGCCCCUCCUAUUGAUCUUAGGCUGACCACCCGUGUGGUCACAAAUGUUCUCUUAGCUGGAUAACAUCUGGGGGUCCCGAAGGCCCCCACAUUGGACUUUCCUGUCCUUGGGGUCUUGCCUCCUCGCCAGUCAGUCAAGUAGGCCUUGCUUGUGUUUGACAUGGCACCUUCUAGAUUGACCCCAGGGAGCUCCUCUGCACCCCCCCCCCACCUGCAGCCACCCUGUAUGGUUCUCAUCUGUGGUGGAGGGGAGCGUGUGGCCUUCCCUCUAUUCGUAUUCCUGGCCCUCAAACACUAGCACAGCUAAUUGUAGAUAUUUCGCUUCUGCCAAUAUGUUUGGGGUCCUGCUGUUUGACCCAAAUGGAACUGAUUCAACUCCACUGAAUGAGAAACCUCAUUUCCAUAAGCUACUUCUGAGUUUGGAUGGCAACCCACCACUUUCCUCAAGUCAUUUUCUCUUGCGUGCCGCUUAUAUUCGUUGAUUUAUUUCCUGGUUUUUAAGAUAGUUUUUAUUGAUCUGAGGCAUUAAAUUUAAUUCUGAUGUGGGAGAAUCUUUUCCCUUCUAUUUUAUACUGUCUCCUAACCACUUAACUCCUUUAUUUAACAUUUUUAAUUAAUUUGGCGUGAAGCCUCUGGAAGCGAUGAUGGCAUUUCUCCUUGUAUAUAUUUUAAAAUUUUGAUACCAAGCCCUGCCCUCUUCUGCCUGUCUUUCCCUUCAAAAAUUUAAGAUAUUUGUAUUCUGUGACACCAACCGUAUUAAUCAAGACCAGUUUAUAGAGUGUCUCUGAUUUGCCAGGUCCUCUUCUAUGGUUGGGAACAGGGCACAUAUCAAAACACACAGAAAUCUCCACUCUGAGGGAGCUUUACGUGGUCAUGCUUUUCUCCAAUGACAUUGGAGCGAUGGCUGAAGUGAGUGUGUGUGGCUGAAUGUGAAAGGUCCUCCGUAGGGCCGGGAAGGAAGAGAACAUUGAGGCGGACCCCAGAGAAAAGACAGUGUCAUCAGCAGAGGGGGAGAUGUGCUGUGGGAAGAGGAGGGGUGAAAACUGAGGGAAGGAGAAAAGAAAAAGGCCUUGCUGGAUGGAGAUUGCAGUUAGGUCAGGAAAGGCCUGGAAUUCCAGACUCACUAUAGUAGGCAAGAAGGAGUCACUUUAGGGUUUUGCAAAAAGCAGUGGGACCUGUGGAAAGAGGUGUUUCAGGAGAAGGGUGGCUCAGUGAGCCUCAAAGGAGUUGGAGACCCAUAGUCUGGUCUGAGCACGCAGCCAAAAGUUAGGGAGGAAGGUGGGUGGCUUGGUGCACGAGGUGGCAGGGCCACACAGAAACUGUCGUCCUGUCUCAGAGCUCUACUGAAACACAGAAAACCAUGCUGAGAAAAUGGGACACAAUCUAGCCGCCCAGAAAUGAAGCCAUCAUCAUGUGAGAUCUUAAGUGGGGUGUGGGUUUGGGCAUUUUCACUUGACUGCACGAUUCCUAGUCCUGGAUUGUAAGCCAGAGGGCAUCAGAAGAAAGUGGCUCAUUGGGUGUUUGUAGGACGUGGUUUUACCUCCUGGUCUUUAAAUAUUGGCUUCCACGGCACAGAGAAUACACGAUGGAACUUCUUGAAGCUUCUGUUGAAUAUGUUAAAUGUUAAGUGUUAAGAGUGACAUUUUGACAAGGACAGAUCAAACACUUGGUUAUGUUUUAAAACCAGACUCUAGUUUUGUGUCAAAGCAUCCAGAACUGUCACCUCCUCACAGCCUUCCCUACAACUCAGAGUGUGGGUUUUCGUGUCCAGAAAAACCCUCAUUCACCAUCAUUCAGACAAAGAAAUACGUGCAGUCACUGAGAAAAUACCCGUGCUUCACCGGAAGGACCUGAUGCUUACAGGGAGGAGUGUUGCAUUUCGUGGAGAUUUUAUCAUUUUUUUCUUACCUUUAGGAAGUAAGAAUUGAGAUUCUUUUAUCAGCGUGUUCUGCUUCUCUCGUGAGCAGUUGUGUUCUUUCUUCCUGAAAUAGCUAUUCUCCGUUAGGCAUAAUUACAACGUAAGUGGAGAUUAGGAUACGUGACUCUGUUUGGAAAAUCUGCCUGUGAUGUGUACCUGUGCUAUUGAACACAGGCUUUUACCCACAUGCAGUGAGUUGGGCAGCCAUGUGUCCGAAGGCAAUCGCGUAAUUCGAUAGGGUUGCUGUUAUACAGAAGAGCUGUUAGCAUAAGAGUUCUACUAAAAUAUUUAUUGCUUGUCCCUGAGCUGGCGCCCUGUAAUGCAGGUACAUUAUGCAUCACCACUUAUACUGUGAUAUGCUUGGUUUCUAUCACUUAUUUUGUCUGCUUUUUUUUUUUUUUUUAAAGCCACCAUCUGCAUCUUCCACUUUGAAGUACAUUAGUUACUAUGGAAACAGUGAUGUCACUGGUGGGGGUGAGGGUUAGUAACAUCCACGAGGACAGUAUGAAAUCAUUUUAUUUAAUGGUUUGAAAUUUAUACGACACUUGGGGAAAAUUAUAGGUAUGUUUGGGAGAAUGGCGUGCUUAUACAAUUAUAGCUAGCUUGAUGUGUGUGCAUGUAACAAAAAUCAGCAUUUGUGUGUUUUUUUAGGUUGCAAACAAAAACAUGCCUGAAGAUUAAGACAGAUAUACACAGGAAGGAAAAGGAAGGCCAGGGGGCUGCCCAAGGCUCAUGGUUCCAGCAGGUGUAUAGAGUUCCCUCUGUAGGUGUGGCUUAUGUAAGUGAUAGUGCAUUUUCCCCCAUAUAAAUAUACUGUUUAGGAUAGGUCUUUGGCUGAGUGACACUUGUGUUCUGGGCAGUGGUCGAUUAAUUGUGAUGUGCCGCAGAACGCUCAGCAAGAUCCCUUGAAAAGGGGCCGGGGGUCCCAGAAGCUUCAGUCUUGUGUGUGACAGGAGAGGCGGCAUCUUGAGUCCAAGGAAGGGCCCCCGGAUCCCUUUAAUAAAUAGUGCACAGGGCGCUGUGCAGAGUGUGAACGAAGCUGGCCCGUGUUCUCCUUCAAAACUGCUCUCUUUUUCUUUUUAAACUGAUUUUGAGAUAAUUGUACAUUCCCCGGCAUAUGUAAGAAAUACUACAGAAGGACACCCGGUCUCAAUGGUAACAUUGUGCAUAAGUGUAGUACGUUGCCACAGUCAGGAAAUUGGCAUGGAUACAGUCCACCAGCAGACUCCCCCAGGGUUGCGUGCAUUCAUUUGUAUCUGUGCAUAUUUAGUCUUUGCUGUUUCAUCUUGUGGGUAGAUUCACGUGACCGCCCCCAUAGUCAAGGUACAGAACCAUUCCUCUUCAUGGAGGCCUCCUGCUGCCCUGGUGUGGCCCCGCCCUUCCCUGCCCCCAACCUCAGGCAGUCACUGAUCUGUCUUCCAUGUCCAUAAUGCUGUCAUGCUAAGAAUGAUACAUACGUGGAAUUGUUCACGUAAUCUUUGAGAUUGGCUUUUUUCAUUCAGCAAAACCCCCUCGUGGUUGCAUGUAUCCUGGAUCCCUAGGAUUGCCAGGUGAUAUUGCUGAGUGAUAUACCAUGGUAUGGAUGUACUAUGCUUAUUUAAACAAUCACUCUUUCAAGGACAUUAGUUGGUGUUCAUCUUUUCAAACACAAAGUACUUGGAAGAGAGUUUGAAGGGGUCUGCACAGCACCACCACUGGCAAGCACUUCAAAAGGAACCAGUCUCUGUCUUUUCUCUUUUCUGGUGUUUUCCAGCAGGGCUUCUUCCAGAAGCAGGAAAAUUUUCCAAAUUAUUUAGAAAGAAGGCAGGCAGGCAGUGGAGAGAGCCCACCGCAGCCCAGGGGAGCUGGCUAGCCAGCUGAUGUGUCUCCUUUCAAGGGUGGGCCUGGGUAUUGGAUAUAUUUAGUUUGUUUGCAGAGAGGAACAGAAGCACUGCGUACCCCGAGACCUGCACUGAAGGAGCUUUAUUUCUCUUCCAGGAGUUGAGGGAAGAAGAUACUUUCUGUUUUGGAUAAAAGGAGCUGUAACACCAGCUGCUCAGCCUCCUUAUUCCACCCCUGACCCGCACCCCCAAACCGUUUUGAGGAAAAUCAAAACCUAAACUCUUGUUCUGGGACAGAUCCUGGGUUUCGUUUGAUUGAUUUUCAUUUCAAAAAGUGUUGCACUUGGCCUUUUAAAAAAAUAUACCCUGGGAUUGUUUCCCCAGUCACAUGACAGAAUUUAAACACCAAAUUCCUUCUCAGAGUGCCUGCUACGGGGCUGUGUUUCUGGUCUGUGGUUCAUCGGAAGAGACCGGUGCUGAUGGACCCCCAGAAUCUGAUGUCGCGAUUCCCCACUGAGAGACUUUUCUUUACCAUGUGUUUUAUGCAACCAACAGUCUCUCCCCUUGUCCUCUGCCAUUCAAGCUAUUGACCUAAAGAAAGGAAGGGUUUUAGCGUUUGUGGUUUAAAAGCCAUUUGGAGAAACCUGGUGGGUUGGAUCAGAAGCUUCUAGUACCGACCCUUGUUGGUCGGAGAGUCUGCACGGGACUUUCUGUCCGAGCUGAGCAGCGGAUGUGAGUCCCCCUGGAAAAGCAGCAGCAGAGGUGGCCCACGUGGGAGACAGAAACAUACGUGUUUGGCUCAGACUUCAGGAGACGGUUUUCUUAGCAUAAGCAAUGUGAUUUCUUUGUCUGGCAACCUCAUUAUUGUUUUCUAGCACUAACCUGGGAUGUCAUGCUUGAGUAGGGUAACCCUUUGCCCUCCCCAUCAUCACCUUGCCUGCCUCUUCCUGGCCAGGUCAGUUGCCCUUCUCUUGGGGCCUCCUUUGCAGUUGUCCCUGUUCUGACACCAAACCCGUUACAUCAGUGCUUUGAAGAAUGGUUGCUCCUGACCGGGGAGCUCAGUUUACAGCAGCCGGGGACGCCAGCACUGUGUGUGGUGACAUCUUACCCAAAGAUCGUCUUCAGUUGCCUGGAAGGUGUCACCUGGUAUGCCAAGGAGCUGUAAUAUCACCUGGUUCUUUAAGAAGUUGGUUGGGCUGCACUCCUUGCGCCUGGUGUGUAAGGGAAUAUGGCAGAUGGGCCACCAGCCACAGUGCGGUCCAGCCUGGAGCCAUUUUCUGUAAGCAGGUGAGUGGUGAGGACCUGGGAGGGAGCCAGGUGCUCCCGCCCUUUGGAUUCCAGACCUGUCUAUCAGUGCAUCUUAAUCCCCAAAGUGCUUUGAUGCUGGUGGCUAAUAAAAUGACUCCCUCCUCCUCCCACCCCGCCUACCUGUUUUGGUGAUAGUGGUGGUGGUGUUAGCAACAGGCAGCAAUGGCCUGGGUUUCCCUUCCACCAGGUGCCUGGGAUGCUUGCUUUGUGAAAUUCAUCCUGAAAAUGAAAAGAGAAACUUGGUACUGAGACUUCCGGUUUGCCCUUUCCCUCCAUCAGCUGAGGCAUCAGAAGGAAGUUCAGAAGCCCCAGGGUUCUCAGUAGGAGAAGCAGCUCUUUGGGUUCAUGACAUCCCUUCUCUGCCUGGCCCUCUUGCUGGGAUGCUGGGGCUGGUGGAUGGUGAGCUACCUUGCUUUGGCAUGCUGGGGCAUUUAGAAACUGCCGUGUCGGGGACACCUGGGUGCUCAGUGGGUUGAGCGUCUGACUCUUGAUUUCAGCUCAGGUUAUGAUCUCAGGGUCGUGAGAUCGAGCCCCGCUUUGGGCUCCAUGCUCAGCACAGAAUCUGCUUGAGAUUCUCUCCCUCUGCCCCUCCUCCCGACUCAUGCUCGCUCACCAAAUAAAUAAAUAAAUAAAAUCUUUAAAAUAAAAAAGAAACUGCCAUGUCUUCAACAUUCUAUCCCUUUGCAUUUCCUUUCACGUAGCAGUUGGUUCUGUGGGGAUUUCCCCUCCCGGUUAUGUGUAAUUAUCUUAUUUUAUGCCAUGAUAUACCCUUACAAGUUGCCAUUGGUCAUAAAUUCCAGGUUGUGAUUUCUAUCUCUUAUAUUUCUAAGGCGAUCUUUUCACACACUCUUCACACUCUCGUAAUUAUUGCAUGUGUUCUCCUGGCUUGCAUGUACGGUUUGUGGUUCCAGGUCUUUUCUAAGCAGGGUCGUGUGGAUGAUAUCCCGAGAGCAGCAUCCUGAAACACCACUUCUCCUUCGUCUGUUCUCUGUGCUGGGCCGGCGACCGUGUGAAGUGCUACGCAAGUUAUCGUCUGCUUAACCCGCCCGCUGAUGCACGUAUAGAGACGUUGCCCAGAGCAGCCACUGUAGCAUCACAUAAAGUCGCAGGAAUGAUCAAAAUCGUCCCAACGAUUGAUAAGAAUAGUGAUGCUAUCUAACGCUAUUCUAAGGUGGAGAUUCCGAGUUCUUGAGGGUUCGGGAAAUGUUCUCGGUGUCACACAGCUUGAAUGGCAAUGCCGGGCACCGAAAGUGUGCAUUCCCACUCCAGAAGCUUUUUUUUUUUUUUUUAAUAAUAAAAAGUUGUUUUAAAAUAAA